GGAUAAUCUGCCCUCAGGUGAGGAAUAAUCCCGGGAAACUGGGGCUAAUGCCUCAUGGGAGACGGGUGCUGGAAUGCUCUGUCUCCGAAAGGUCCGCCGCCUGAGGAUGAGUCUGCGUCCGAUUAGGUUGUUGUUGGGGUAACGGCCCAACAAGCCUUUGAUCGGUACGGGUUGUGGGAGCGAGAGCCCGGAGAUGGAUUCUGAGACAUGAAUCCAGGCCCUACGGGGCGCAGCAGGCGCGAAAACUUUACAAUGCGAGCAAUCGUGAUAAGGAAACCCUGAGUGCCUGUCAAUGCAGGCUGUUCUGGUGUCUAACACACACCAGGAGAAAGGGCGGGGCAAGACCGGUGCCAGCCGCCGCGGUAAUACCGGCUGCUCGAGUGAUAGCCACUUUUACUGGGCUUAAAGCGUUCGUAGCUUGGUCGUUAAGUCUCUGGGGAAAUCUUUUGGCUCAACCAAAAGGCGUCUCAGGGAAACUGACGAUCUUGGAACCGGGAGAGGUAAGACGUACUUCGGGGGUAGGAGUGAAAUCUUGUAAUCCCCGAGGGACGACCGAUGGCGAAGGCAUCUUACCAGAACGGCUUCGACAGUGAGGGACGAAAGCUGGGGGAGCAAACCGGAUUAGAUACCCGGGUAGUCCCAGCCGUAAACGAUGUGCGUUAGGUGUGUCAGUGACCACGAGUCGCUGAGGUGCCGAAGGGAAACCGUGAAACGCACCGCCUGGGAAGUACGGUCGCAAGGCUGAAACU
rnacentral:rRNA from 1 species